GGGAAUUUAGCUUAGUGGCAUAAGUGCCUGCCUGGCAAGCAUGAGGUCGUGAGUUCAAUCCCCA
rnacentral:tRNA from 1 species